UCUAAAUACUCGUGUCAUGCACUUAUGCUCCAAAUACCUUGUCUCAACCAUGCAAGCUAUUGCUAGCUCCAUGUUUGUUAUCCGUCUUUUGGUGAUCAUAGGUUGAGCGAGUUGAUGAGUUUUAGAAGAGGGUGUUUCUUUUCUUGCCAUAAACAGGGGCCAUAUUGUUUAUUCAGACCGUGGUGCAUCUUUUUAUGUAGUAUAAUGGGACACUGGAACUGGAAGUGCUACAAAAAUUGGAAACAUAUCUUGGCUUGUGUAGCUGGGAAGCAAGAUCAAGAAGUUCUGAGGCGUCAUCUGCGCAUGACCGAGUGCUUGCAAGCGUGAUCAGGAAGCUGAGCAUUGUUCCGGGAAUAUAUUUCACGUGGUCCUUGGUCUUUUCAUGAAGUUCGGCACCGGCGUGUUCACCAAGGAUGUCGCCAUCAUAGUCCACAAGGGCAUCUCGACAAUAGAAGCCCUGCCGUCCGUGUUCGAUGGCAUCAACUUUGGAGCAUCAGACUACAUGUACUCUGCUUAUUCCAUGGUUAAAAAAAAAGGAGAAGCCUGACUUUUAUUUCGUGAUGUUGGUGCUUUGUUCAAAAGGAAGAUAUGAUAUCUAGGUCUUGGUUGAAUGAUUCAAUUUAUAGAGGCUAUUACACAAGUUCUGGUUUCAGAUGAUUUUGCUGGAUCAGGUACAAAUAGAAGAAGUGGUUCAAGAUACAAGAGCUCCUAUUGGAGCAUCUUCUGAUUUUGACGAGGAUGAGCUGGAAGCAUAGCUGGAAGAAACUGGAGGGAGCACAAUUGGAAAAUCAACUACUGGAGCAUAUACCUUACCAUCAGGUGCAGGUACAACAGGGAGAGGGAGAGGGGGAGUUAUUUUUCCUUUCACGUGGGAUUCCAGUUCGAUUAUGUUUAUGAUUGGACUGUUCUUAAAUAUCAGCA